rnacentral:rRNA from 1 species
AGAGUUUGAUCCUGGCUCAGAACGAACGCUGGCGGCAGGCUUAACACAUGCAAGUUGAACGGGAUUGUUAAGUAGCUUGCUAUUUAACAAGAGAGUAGCGCACUGGUGAGUAACACGUGGGAACGUGCCUUUUAGUGGGGGAUAACAUCUGGAAACGGAUGCUAAUACCGCAUACGCCCUGAGGGGGAAAGAUUUAUUGCUAAGAGGUCGGCCCGCGGUAGAUUAGGCAGUUGGUGGGGUAAAGGCCUACCAAACCGACGAUCUAUAGCUGGUCUGAGAGGACGAUCAGCCACAUUGGAACUGAGACACGGUCCAGACUCCUACGGGAGGCAGCAGUGAGGAAUAUUGGGCAAUGGAGGCAACUCUGACCCAGCCAUGCCGCGUGAGUGAAGAAGGUUUUCGAAUUGUAAAGCUCUUUCGGAUGUGACGAUGAUGACGGUAGCAUCUAAAGAAGCCCCGGCAAACUUCGUGCCAGCAGCCGCGGUAAUACGAAGGGGGCGAGCGUUGUUCGGAAUUACUGGGCGUAAAGGGUGUGUAGGCGGUUAAGUAAGAUAGUGGUGAAAUGCCGGGGCUCAACCUCGGAAUUGCCAUUAUGACUAUUUAUCUAGAAUGAUGCAGAGGAUAGCGGAAUACCCAGUGUAGAGGUGAAAUUCGUAGAUAUUGGGUAGAACACCAGAGGCGAAGGCGGCUAUCUGGGCAUUUAUUGACGCUGAGGCACGAAAGCAUGGGGAUCAAACAGGAUUAGAUACCCUGGUAGUCCAUGCUGUAAACGAUGAAUGCUGGUUGUCGGCUUUAGGGUCGGUGACGAAGUUAACGCGAUAAGCAUUCCGCCUGGGGAGUACGGUCGCAAGAUUAAAACUCAAAGGAAUUGACGGGGACCCG